UACGGAGGAUCCGAGCGUUAUCCGUAAUUAUUGGGUUUAAAGGGUGCGUAGGCGGGCUAUUAAGUCAGUGGUGAAAUCCUGCAGCUUAACUGCAGAACUGCCGUUGAUACUGAUAGUCUUGAGUUUGGUUAAGGUAGGCGGAAUGUGUAAUGUAGCGGUGAAAUGCUUAGAUAUUACACAGAACACCAAUUGCGUAGGCAGCUUACUGAGCCGACACUGACGCUGAGGCACGAAAGCGUGGGGAUCAAACAGGAUUAGA
rnacentral:rRNA from 1 species